rnacentral:rRNA from 1 species
AACGAACGCUGGCGGCAUGCCUAACACAUGCAAGUCGAACGAGACCUUCGGGUAUAGUGGCGCACGGGUGCGUCACGCGUGGGAACCUGCCCUUAGGUUCGGAAUAACUCCCCGAAAGGGGUGCUAAUACCGGAUAAUGUCUUCGGACCAAAGAUUUAUCGCCUUUGGAUGGGCCCGCGUUGGAUUAGCUAGUUGGUAGGGUAAAAGCCUACCAAGGCGACGAUCCAUAGCUGGUCUGAGAGGAUGAUCAGCCACACUGGGACUGAGACACGGCGCAGACUCCUACGGGAGGCAGCAGUGGGGAAUAUUGCACAAUGGGCGAAAUCCUGAUCCAGCAAUGCCGCGUGAGUGAUGAAGGCCUGAGGGUUGUAAAGCUCUUUUACCCGGGAUGAUAAUGACAGUACCGGGAGAAUAAGCUCCGGCUAACUCCGUG